GGAUGCGAUCAUACCAGCACUAACGCACCGGAUCCCAUCAGAACUCCGAAGUUAAGCGUGCUUGGGCGAGAGUAUAACUAGGAUGGGUGACCCCCUGGGAAGUCCUCGUGUUGCAUCCCU
rnacentral:rRNA from 1 species